rnacentral:lncRNA from 1 species
UCUACCUCGUCGACUCUCGCCGCCUCUAUGGAGUGAAGAUCUUGGUAACGAAUCCGAAUCGCCUCUGUUUUGGGUUUCUUCUUCUUCCAGUCCCUCCUUUCUUGAUCUCACAUCUCACCCCUCCUCUCCCGAUUGAUUCAGACAGGACUGCCUCCCUCCGCUGCCUCGCUCCCCAAGGCGGUGAGGCGAGACCGACCGGCGACGCGCGACCAGGUAACGCUCCCUCCCUUCCCUUCCCUUUUCCCCUGCUCCGCUCCAAUCACCUUGCUCGAGCUCUUCGAUCCGUAUUCCAUAGGCCGUGGGACUCGGGUGGAUUUGGUAGAGGUUUAGAUGAUGAAGGGGAUCCAUCAUUGGAGAUGAGAGGCGGAUCCAUUUCUCCCUCCGUCUUGGCGGACAUUUGAUUGGGACAUUUGAGAGAGAGAGGGGAGAAUGCGUCGGCCUACCCAGUGCUGGCUGUACUGUCGACAUGCAUGGUGAAUCUCAUGUCUCAAACAGUUUCAGAGCUUCAGGCUAUGGCAGUAGCCUCUUUACUGUAUUGCCUUGAUCAUGUGAAUGUAUCUCCGCUUAGCCUGGUUCCUCCGCGUAUCUGUUUUCUUUAGCAAGAUCAAACAUCUUGUUUUUCUUUGCUCGAGUGUUUUUAUUGUACACUUAUGCUAGCUGUUAUUGAAAUUUGCCCGUGAAUUCCUUACUGAAAUUUCCUCCCGUCGAAUUCUUAAUGAAAUUGUAAGCUUUGUUACUGAAUUAUAGAAGUAUCCUUGCUUGUUCAAGAACAAAUGUUUGACUGUAUCUCCAAUGCACUCAAUCAUUCUUUGUGAUUACAGUUUUGACUGUAUCUCCAGCAUUGACAAAUACCAUUGCUUGUUCAAAUUUAUACUGGAGUUGCUUGUUCAACACUGAUAAAAUAUCAUUGCUUGUUUAAGGACUCCACUAUACUGAAACAAAUGUAUUAAUCCAGUAUAAAUCUCCAAGGAUUAAGUGCAAGCAAUUUCUAGGAUCAGUAUUCAGUUCAGAUGCAGAUCCAGUCAACACUAGGGAUCAAUAUUCAGUUAACACUAGGAUCAAUACUCAGUGUAACAAUAUUUAGUUAACAGUAUUCUUCUUCCAGGCCAUCGGGGGAGCUCUGGCGGCAGCACAAGGAGCAGAGCAGCGGAGCAGCAACACUGGCACGGGCUUAUAUAUUGCUGGCUUGUAGCAUAAAUUGUUGGCACGGCAGCACAAAUUGUUUGGCGUCUUGACACACUAAUGCAAUCCUACUGACAAUUGCUAGUAACCAAAAUCAUAUAAAGGCAGUCUUCUCUCCUUUAAAUUUUAUUUCAUGAACUAUAUUGAACCACUGCAGCUGCUAUAGAUUUGAGAUUCACAUCUUCUUACAUUGCUUGCUCUAGGAAGUUACUGUUGUGUAGUUAUCUUUUUGCACUGCAUUUGUACAAUUGUAUAUUCUUGCCACUACUAGGUGAUUCCUUGAAUUAUUCAGUUCGUUGUAGCAUACCAGUUUGAUGGAAUGCCUAAGGUCUAAGGAGAUAAAUAUUGGUAUCCAGAAUAGAUGUACCUAAACCAACAGGCACAAAACAUGCAUAUCCCUUUAAUCCGCAUUAGUGCGUCUAAGUGGUUAUUGUAUUGUAAGCUCCAUCCAUGGAGCAGUGAAAUAAGCUGACGCUAUAUAACGUGCAGCUAGCUUGUUGUUUAGACAUUUUCCCGUUUUUAAGUAUUACUUUUCUCUAUAUCUGUGAAUUGGAUUGUCGAUCUUUCCUGGAGUCGAUUUUACGCUAGAGCUUCUAAAACUAAUCAGUCCAGGGAAGAACUUCUUUCUUAUCUUAAUGUUUUGUAGAACCCCCGGAUUGAUCGUAUAUAUUGCAUGCUAUCAUUCACGAUAGAUGUUCUGUCCA